rnacentral:rRNA from 1 species
AAGUUAAACGGCCGCGGUACCCUAACCGUGCGAAGGUAGCGCAAUCACUUGUUCUUUAAAUGAGGACUAGUAUGAACGGCAUCACGAAGGUUAUACUGUCUCCUUCCUCCAAUCAGUGAAACUGACCCCCCCGUGAAGAGGCGGGGAUAAAAAUAUAAGACGAGAAGACCCCAUGGAGCUUUAAACUCAGCAUCAAUUGCCCAACUCAAAUAUCAUUUUAAAUCAGCAAACCUGACAGCUAGUUUUCGGUUGGGGUGACCACGGAGCAAAACAAAACCUCCAUGAUGAAAGGACAAACCUCCUAAUCUAAGAGCUACAACUCAAAGAAUCAAUAAACUGACAUAACUUGAUCCAAUUAACUUUGAUCAACGAACCAAGUUACCCUGGGGAUAACAGCGCAAUCCACUUCAAGAGCCCCUAUCGACAAGUGGGUUUACGACCUCGAUGUUGGAUCAGGGUAUCCUAGUGGUGCAGCCGCUACUAAUGGUUCGUUUGUUCAACGAUUAA